AAGUCGUAACAAGGUUUCCGUAGGUGAACCUGCGGAAGGAUCAUUAAUGAAUGCAGUCCGAGGUUGAUGCUGGUCCCCUGACCGGGGGGCAUGUGCUCACCUUGCUCUCAUCCAUCUCACACCUGUGCACUACUGCGUGGGCCGGGUGGGCUCACGCCCCUCGGCUUGCGUCUUUUACACAAACUCUUGUAUGUUUUAAGAAUGUCAUUCAAAUGCAGUAAAAAGCAUCUUGUACAACUUUCAACAACGGAUCUCUUGGCUCUC
rnacentral:misc_RNA from 1 species